AACUACUCACUAUGUUUAACUAUAUUUAACAUUAUACUUAUGUCCUGUCAUAGUUUCAACAGUAUUGGAAGUGACAGAAAGCACUCCAGCAUGAAGAGUACACGCUCAGAAGGCAGCUGCUCUCUGACCACAGUGGACUUCAAAAGUUUCAGGGGUACAUGGAAUCACAAAAUUCAUCAAAACAGGGAGAUAUGGAGGGCCCAAGCAGGAAAAGACCUGGAGGUAAAGGUCACCCAGAUGGCAGAGGAGCGUAGCCAAGAAGACAAAGAGACAAAUGGUGGAAAAGACACAAGCACAACUGUCGACGAAGCCAACAUGGGACAGGGGAAAAUGAAAAAAGAAUCCGUGGGACAAGAGGUGCAGAACAGGAGACAGCAAGAAGAAAGACAGACUAACGAUGAAAGAAACAAUAAUCAGGCUCAGUCUGCAAGCAUUCUGCUGAAAUCAGUCCCUGAUGCCAUAAAGAAGUCACCUGAUGGACACAUGGAGAAGCAGCAAUCCCAGAAUGACCCUCAAACUGUUUUCCCUCUGAUUCAUUAUCGCAAAAGACCAACCUAUUGUACCAGCUCCUACAGACUGAUCAGGGCAAAAGUCAUAGAAAUAUGGCCUAUUGAUGCCAGAACAAAAGCCAGGAGACUGCAACGCUUCUACUCGCGUCAAUGGAAAUAACCUUGUAAGUUUGGAGUGUAUUAUAAUGGCAUAUUGUGUGAUGUACUCUUUCAUCACUCUGCUUCAGUUUUUCCUUUGUGCAUAAACUCAGAAUUCCUUUCCCAGUAAAAAUAUAAUUAUUUGCACUUAGUUUCCUUAUUUGUAUUAUUGUAGGGUCUUUACCUUAUAUUAAAUUAAUUUUAUUAUUUUAAGUUCCAAUGGAAAAACAUUUAUGUUGCAAUUUUACACCAUGGAUACUAUGUUUUUGUUUUUGUUGCUCAUAAAUUUCCCCAUAACUCAUCCCAUACCUUGUGAACAUAUAGACAUCUAUGUGUUUCUUCUUUAUGUUAUAAAGUAAUACAGUAGAAGGCUUUGUACAGGUUAGUUUCAUUGUGUGUUCAGUUUAAAGAGAUUGCUAUUCUUGUUUACACACUGCAAAGACUCCAGACAAAAACUAUGGUAGAAGUUUUUUUUUUAAUAUAACAUCUACAAUAACUACAAUUUCAAUUUUAUGUUCAUGAACAAUUUGAAUAUGGACUGUAGGCCAGAUACUUUUGGGUGACCUUGUAAGUAUUAUGUUUUUAAUUUUAUCAGAGUUUAAAAUAAGUUUAUGUGUAAUCAGAGAACUUUUUAAAUGCAUCAAAAUGGAAUGACCUGAUCAGGGGAAAGGCCAGACACAUAUAAACCAGUUAUCUGCAUAAAAAUGUAUAGCAGUUUUGGGUGACAGGGAUAUUGUUGUUUAUGCACAGAGUGAAUAAAAAAGAUCCAAAACUAAAUCUCUGUGGAACACCUGGACAAAUAGAUGAUUUGGAACACCUGGACAAAUAGAUGAUUUGUCCAGGUGUUCCACAGGUAUCUAGAGAGAGAGCGAGAGGGAGAGAAAAGAAAAGAAACAUAAAAAGUGAAUUGUUCAAUAAACAAGUAAUACAAGAAUUGUGAAUUAAGAAACCCAAGUGGCAACACCAAUAAAUGGGCUUUGGCUGAUUUUGGGUGUACAUACACACAAAAUGAAAAUAAAAAAACAAAACAAAACAUUAGUCAUUUUUGCAAUGCAUUAUGGGUCCUCAAAAUUGCAUCCCUUUUUCACUCAUAACUCAGUUUCUAUACCUCCUACACCCAACAUGUGCUAUAUCGCUUCUAAGGUCUCCUCCAAAUCGAUCCCAUGGUACACAUAUCUCAGUUUCUAAUCUCACAAUUGUGAUUCAACCAGCCACUCCCUUGCAGGCCUAUAUACAGUGGUAUAUAAAGUAUACAAUUUAUAGCUCUGUCUGAAUCUGGACCCUUUGCUUCAUGCCCUGCUUGUCACCGCCUUGUCUGGACAGCAUCUCCCUAACAUCACGCAGGCUUCCGAACCUGUAACAC
ensembl:lncRNA